ensembl:lncRNA
CGGCAGGCGAGACGAUCACGGGAAACGGAGGAACAGUUUUCUUUUAUAUCUUCUUCCCGCUUCCUUGCCCUCUUCCAUCUUUAUGACUUCGUGAAGACGAAAGCAACUCUGCCAUGGAGAGCUCCGUUGAGGCUUCCAAGACUAGUGUUACGUCGAACCCCAAGCCACCACUGGCCCCCAAACCUGGCCUUGCUCCCAAGCCCUUCUCUGUGCAGAAGAACACCACCAUCCGCUCCAUUCAUGCCCCAAAGACGCUCCCCGCUACCUCGAAAAUUCAAAAAUCAGAGCCUACAGGUGUCUCCAAACCAACUUUGACCCCUCGUGCUCAGAAAACAUCUCAGCCGGCUGUCACCUCAAAUGCAAAACCAGGCUCUCAAAGUGAGCUUCCCAAAAGUGACCCAACAACAACCAAAGCUAGUGAGGCAGGUAAAGAGGAAACUCGUGAUUCCAGUGUAGGAAAAACAGCCUCACAAACCAGUCAGCCCGAAGAGACAAAGAAAUCUGAGCUUGUCCAGAAAGACGACAUCACCCAAACAAACCACAAAGCUUCUGGAGAUGUUGCAAGUAACUCAGAGCAGAACGACGGAAAAGCGAAGGAAGAUGAAACUCAAGCUUCUGUCGUCAAAAUGCGGAAUCACUCAGGCAGCGAUGGUUCCUCUUCAACCGAUGAAACAUUUCGUUGGGGUGGUGCUAGGAAGCGUCUGUCCAUGGAGCUCACCUCAAAGUUUGAGUCAGGCGGUCUGUCUCUGCCCCCGCAGCCUACCACAGCUAUCUCCACAUACAACACCAAAGGGCGUUCAAAUAGGCUAGUAUCUCCUGCUCCAGAGCAGAAGCAGGCAUCUCCAGAGCAGAAGCAGGCAUCUCCAGAGCAGAAGCAGGCAUCUCCAGAGCAGAAGCAGCCAUCUCCAGAGCAGAAGCAGGCAUCUCCAGAGCAGAAGCAGGCAUCUCCAGAGCAGAAGCAGGCAUCUCCAGAGCAGAAGCAGGCAUCUCCAGAGCAGAAGCAGCCAUCUCCAGAGCAGAAACAGGCAUCUCCAGAGCAGAAGCAGGCAUCUCCAGAGCAGAAGCAGGCAUCUCCAGAGCAGAAGCAGGCAUCGCCAGAGCAGAGGCAGGCAUCGCCAGAGCAGAAGCAGCCAUCUCCAGAGCAGAAGCAGCCAUCUCCAGAGCAGAAGCAGGCAUCGCCAGAGCAGAGGCAGGCAUCUCCAGAGCAGAAGCAGGCAUCUCCAGAGCAGAAGCAGGCAUCUCCAGAGCAGAAGCAGGCAUCGCCAGAGCAGAGGCAGGCAUCUCCAGAGCCUUCAAACAAAGAGAGCGAUGACGGUGAAGUGAAAGAGGAUUACACCGGGGGAAACAGCAUAAAACGCAGAAUCAGUCAACUGUUUGACUCUGCGUCGAGGCCGGAGGCCAUGCCGAAGAGGGACGAACCGGAAAUCUUAAACGGUAUAGGAGGGGUGAAGGAGCGCAUCAAAAAUUGGGCUGCAGAAACAAGUUCUGAGGGUCCAAAGAUGGAGAAGAAGCCUCCGGCUACAUCCCGAGCACGCUCCAAGAGCUUUGAGCCUGCAACUUCUCCAACAGCAGUGAAAACACCAAAAACUUCAAAUCUCAGACUUUCUGCCGAAGAAAUGCCGCAGAGUCCGACUGUGGACCCCCCGUCAAAGGUCUCACCUGUUGAACAACCAACAAAGUCCCCAACAGAAAUGCUAAAACGUGUUCAAACUGAAAAGAAAUCAUCAGAAAGUGCUGCAGAGAGCCCACAAGAGGCGAACAAAUCAACGGAGGUUGACGUCCAGUUGCGCACCCCUAACCUGAGUGAAGACGUACCAAAGGAGAACAAUGUCAAACGUCGCUCUGUUCGCUUUGGCACCGUGCAGAGCGAUGAUGGUGGGCCUCCACUGAUCCUAGGCUCGGAUUCUGAUUCUGACACUGAAGAAGAAGAAGAAGAAGAAGAAGAAGACGAAGUAGAAGAAGAAGAAGAAGAGGAGGAGGAGAGUCCUGGAUUUACAGCUGAAAAGGAAGUCCCUGAUGUAGUGCCUGUCUAUAAAAGAGUAGGAAUUUUUCAGAAAAAUUAUGAUGAGAGUCAACGGCAAGAAGAAGAAAGAAAGAAACAUCUGGAAUUUGAAGAACGGCGGCGAGCAGAGGAGAAGGAACAAGCAAGGCUUCAGCUAGAACAGGAGCAGAAAAGAGUGGAAGAAGAGAAGGAAAAAGAAAGGGAAAGACAGAGGGAAGAGCUCAGGCUUAAGGAAGAGGAGAGGGCAAGGCAGAAAGAGGAGCAAAUUAAACAAGAGAUGGAGGAGAGGGAAAGGGAGAGGCUAAAGGAAGAGGAGAGACUGAGGGAGGAAAGAGAAAGACAGAGACUAAAAGAAGCG